rnacentral:lncRNA from 1 species
AGCUGCAAAAGGAGAAGGAUCGGGAAACGAUUGACGAACGAAACAAACGAGAAGGCGAUGGAAGAUAGGAUCGUGGAAGAAUCAGUAAGAAAAAAAAGAAGAAAUGCGUAAUGGUGAAAAAAUUUGAAGAGUUUGUUGCAGUGAAAGGAAAGUAAAGAAACUAGAUGGAAGAAAGCAUGGCGAUGAAUGAAAUUAGGGUUUGUAAGAAGAAGAAGAAAAGAGCGGUUGGGAGGAAGAAGAAGAAGAUAUUAGAUAUGGGUAACCCGCAAUCGGUUUUUGUUAUAAUGCUCUCUCUCUUUCUUUUUAUUUUUAAUUUUCUUUCCAAGGAGAGGAUGCGGUAAUGGUGAGUUUAUUGCUGUUGUUGUUGGUUGUGUACGUGUGUGAGUGUUGUUGUGUGUGUGAGACUAUGCACCAUGCAAAUGUGGCUUCGUAAUAUCCAAAGGCAUGUAUAAUAUUUUAUUAUCAAAAAUGUUUUUUUUUAUAUCAUGAUUUUAAAACUUUUUAAAUUGUUUUUCUAUCAGUUAUAUCAAUGGCUAUAAAUAGUAAAUUAUAUUUGUUAUAUUGUAUUGCAAAUAAUUAUGGAGUAUUUUUUAUUAAUAAAAUAUAUUUAUUCACUUAAAUUGAAAAUAUAUAUAUAUUUAUAACAAUACAAAUCCAAUAUUUUAAAAGUUAAAAAUAAUAAAUUUACAAAUAGGCUCAUAAAAUUUAAGUUAAUACCAUUAAAUGUGAAGAUGUCAACAAAUUGACAAGAGAUUGGAAGAGAUUGGAUAAUGUCGCACCAAAAUGAAAGAACAACAAAAUGUCAUAUUUAGGUGAUAAAAGCACGAAAGAUGCAAAGAAUUUUUUUUUUUUUUUUUACGUAUAUAAAUGGGUGGUAAAUGAAAGAACAACAAAAUGUCAUAUUUAGGUGAUAAAAGCACGAAAGAUGCAAAGAAUUUUUUUUUUUUUUUUUACGUAUAUAAAUGGGUGGUAAAGUAAUUCUAAUGGAUGAUUUCACAAUUGAAAAAAUAAUUAACAACGCUCCUCUUUAAUACAUGAAGAAAAAAAUAGCAGUUAGAGAGAAUGUGGAACUUCUCUCAAAAUUUAAGGUUGACUUACAAAUAACUACUACGAUCAUAACUAUGGAUUUGAUAUUGAACAAUUGUAAAGGUAUUUUAAGCAUGUCUUCAAUGACAAUGUGUUCUCAUCGAAUGUCUUAGUCAAUUCUUGAUGCAUUUGUUGUAUUAAAUUUGAUCAAAAAGAAUGAUGAUAACAUUGUUAGUGGUAUUUUAGAACAUCAAAGCAAAAUCUUUAAACAAGCUUUAAAAAUAAUUUUUGAUGUGUCAAUUACAUACGUCGUGUUUAAAAUGUGAUGUGAUUAUUGUUACAAUUCUAAAAUCGGAUUAUAUUGUUGAGGUCAAUUGUUCCAUAACUUUCCUACAUGAAAGAUUGAUGUUGGAGAAAAAUGAUAUUUAUCUCAUCUUAGAUGACUUGCAUGACAAAUUAAACAAUGUUUGGAAGGUGUCAGGCAAAUAGUCUUUUAUAAAUAUUGGUAAGGGGUUAUUUAUUUUCACUUUUUUUAUCUAUUGAACAUUUACGUAUAGUUUUUAUUACGAGAGUGUGUAUCCUUACGUCGAAAAUACUUUGUUAUUUUCUUGGAUGUCGGAUUUCAACACAAGCAUAAUACAAAACACUAAUGUUCAAUGUUGAAUUAGGUCUCACAAUUUUCCUUUUGAAUAUUGGAGGUCUACGACUCUAUUUACUAUUUUAUACGGGUAAACAUUCUUCUACCCUUAGAUAAAGCCAUCACUAGCAAAAAGCUCAAGUAUUUUGCUAUAAUGAUGAUGUAUUAACCUUUUGAACUCUUAAAUGACUCUCUUUCGGUAGAAAUUAGAGGUUAUGUUUUUAAUGUUGAUAUAGAAUACAAUACACUCGUAAUGUUUUACAUUUCUUAUCAGACAACUUAUCAUUCUUUGAAAGAUUAUAUAAGACAAAAGUGUGUAGAUGAAUAGUCGACUCGGGAAUAUAUUAGGGGGAAAACUCAUUACUAAACAUAUCCUUAAGAAAGUCAUUUUAUAGUCACCAAGUGAUACUUAACUAGAAUCACAUAGGUUGUGGGUUGAAGUCAUUCAUGGUCAAGAGGUCGUCGUCUUUUGGAUGUGACAUCUCUAUAGUAAAAUCAACCAAGAGUUUGGGAUUUUAUGGGCCCUAUUGGUUCUAAGUCGGUAUAAAAUUUAAAGAGUUCCAUUAACCAUGUAACAAUUUGCUUAGGUAUGAGCCAAAGCCCAACUAACUUUAGUUCAACCCAAUAUUGGACCUCUUAUGAACCAUAUUGACUAAAUGUCUAUGGACCUUCGUAUCUAAGCAUCAAAAGAUACUGAGGUCACUUUUCUCAUUUCGCUUAUCUAUAUAAUGUAUCCACAAUAAGGUCCUAAUACUGUGGAACCUAUGAUGGAUAUGUUAUAUAAGUGCACUUGAUUGGAGCAAAUAGAAUUAAUUUAUCCUCAAACUAUAAUUGGCAGGAUCCCCUGACAUGUGUCCUUUCUUAUAUUUGUCUAAAGUAUAAUGUUAUAGGUUCUUGAAAACCAUAUGACCUCACUAUAAAUAAUGACAAAUGGGUCACAUAAAGGUGCACAUUAUUGUAACAUUAAAUAUCUCUCGCUUCCUAUUGUCAUUGACUUGUCUGUCAGAGUGUUUGCAUGUAUCCCCAGGGUCGAAGCACAAAAAUACAAAACUUCAUGUUAGAGAAUACCAUUGCAUCUUAGUUCACCGCCACAUUUGUAAACCUUGUCGAUUUUCUCAAAAUCACUAUUUUCCCUAAAUAUUCGCCUUCGACGAAAUUUUCUGAAUGAGAAAGUAUUUACUCACAAUAACUAUUUAUGACUAGUCGUAAUGUCUAAAUCUUUGAGCUGAUAAUAUUAAGAAAAAGGUUAGUUACUCGUAUUUUUUGUAUAGUAUAUAUGUUAUUUGUACCAUUUUGCUCAUAAAAUACAAUGGUUAUUGUGUUUUUUCUAUUUCCUUUACACAAGCCAAAUUGGUUAAUAUUUUAUGGAUGUUAAGAAAAAAUUUAACUUAACACAAGUUGUUAGCAUAAUUAUUACUAAGGGUUAUGAAGGAACUUAUUCAAGUCAUCAAAGGCUUGUUCCCAUUGGGAAGUCCAUUUAAAGUGUUCUUGCUUUUAGAGGACUUAUAGAUUUGCAAUGAGUGAUUUGUUGAUUUGGAAAGGAAUCAUGAUAUAAAUAUUAUUUGUUUCGCUAGUUGUCACACUUCUUUGAUGGAUUUCAGACACUAUGUCAAUAGUAUUGCCCUGCAUUUCUUAGUAUUAAAUUUUAUCUACCUUUAGGCGAUCAUGAAUCCUAAUAAAUUGCUUACUUAAACCCAUAAAAUGCACUUUAUAUGUUCAACCUCAUUUUAUACUUUAGAAUGUGUCCAAGUAUGAUUCGCAAGUCCUUAAAGUAAGGCUCAGUACUUAUGGUCCUGAUCAUCGUGUCAUCCAUGUACUUAUGCACACCUUGUUAUUAUUCUUUAUUUGCUUCCCAUAUAUUUUGUUCAUGAGUCUAUAGUAAAUGGCUCGUGCAUUGUUUAACCCAAGGACAACAUGGCAGUCAAAGUUCAGCAUAUCUAUCAUGAAAGUUGUUUUUAUGCAUUUGAUGCAUUCAUCAUGAUUUGGUUGUAGCCUUAAGAGAGAAAGUAGAGGAUCUGACAACUUGAUGUAUUAUCUACCAACAUAUCAUUAUAUAUAUAUAUAUAUAUAUAUAUAUUUGGCAAUAAUAUGGGCCUUUGGAGCAUGCAUUGUUCAGAUCUCUACGCAUUUUCCACUUAUCAUUUUUUAUAGUGUUAUAAUGUUGGCCAACCACGACAAAUAUGUGAUUUCUCAAAUGAAAUUCGCAUUUGCUAACUUUUGAGUUUCCUAUUUGGAUGUAUCUUGAUUCUCGCUUGCCAACAUUAUUUUAUUAUGAACCAUUGUUCAUACGAUAUGGUUGAUGGCUAGAUGGUGGGAUAUCACCUUUACACUAAUACAUGACAUGUCAGUUAUGCUUCAUGCAAAUAGGUUUGAGUUGUUCCUCAAUGUUUGGGGCAGAGUGACUUCCUCUUCAAACAAUAGCCAUGAGUCAAUCUUUGUGAUCUUGUCAUCGACUAUUAUCUUAACCAUUUUCACCUUCUUUUUAGGUUCAUGCUCGUCGUUGUUUUCUUCCUUGAGGUCUAGUUCUAUUAACUUUUCACUAAUCUUCGUAGUUUUUUUUUAUCAGAUAGCUUUUUCAUAUUGAUUGAAGUCACUUUAGUUUUAGUUAGGUUAUUGACGUGGAAAUGUUCAAUCACCUAUAGGUUUUUAUGCAUGGUGGAGAUUUUACCAUAAUUAAGAGAGAACUUCAUCGUAAGAUGUGUCAUUUAUAUGAUGGCUUCAAACAUAUUUAGUCUUUGUUGUUUAAUGGUAAAUUGUAUGAUGAAUUUACCUUCACCAUUAGCAAAGUUGGCUUGUAAUUGCUUUGAUCUGGCGUAUGUUGGAAAUGUCCUCUCGUCCAUAUGAAUCACUUGACUUAUGCAUCAUAUAUCGAUUAUCCCACUUAUAUGUCCUUUUUAGGGUUUGAAUAUUAUUGUAGGUAACUUCAACUGCUUGUACACUUAUCUGAAUAUGAUACCAGUCGAGCUUCCUUAAUUGACCAUACUUCUUUUGAUAUUGCAGUUUGUCAUGAUUAUUAAUGGCUCGUGAUCAUUAUAAAUACAUGAUAUGCUUUUAUAAUGUUUUUUUUUUAAUUUUAGUAUAUUUUGGUUAUGUUGAAGUAAUAAAUUAUAUAAAUUCACAUUGUGGAUUAUAUUAAAAUGGACUCAUUGUUUAUGCUUAAUUCUCUCUAGCUAGAUAAUUUUAUAGUUUUUUUUUAUUAUCAGUUAUUAGCUUGACAAGUUGUUCGGUCACUACAAGUAAUAUCAUGAAGUUAUGGAGAUGUGAAGUCAUAAAUUAUAAAUAAUAAAGUUUUAGGGUAGGUGGGAGAUCUUGUCUCACCCGUGAGAUGGAUGAUCUAUUUGCAUAACGCCUACAUAAAGUUAUUUUUACCAAAUCCUCAUUUCCUGGUCAACAAAGAGCCUAUAGUUUGGCAUGAGGUGGACAAUCAAGUUCUAAUUGGCCCAUGUAUAAAGUCAACUUUGCUCUGAAUAACAAAAUCAUACUUUGAAGACAAAUAACAUGAAAGAAUUAUGUUUUGAAUGCUAAUAGUGGUUAUUCUGGUCCUUGGAAGCAAGCGUGACAAUUUAUACUCAAUCUUUGUAAAUUUAUAACUUAUGCAACUCAUUGUUUAUGAUAGUUAUUGCUAUGAUCAUUGAUAUGAAACUCUUUUUUGUUAUUUGAAGUAUGGUUAUUUGGUUAUUCUUGUGUGCAAUGUUUUUCUUUAUUUGAUCACCAUUGAAUUUAUUUUAAGGAUUAAUUCGCUACUAGAUAUGUGUAUUAUAAUUUGACCUAUAAUUUAUGCUUUUAAUUAGUUUACUUUUAGACAUUUUAAUUUCAAUUGCAAACAAUUCCAUAUGAAAAAAAAACCCUUUAUUUCAUAAGUAUUUAUAUGAUCGAUGAGUAAUCCAAAUUAAUCAUAAUUUUCAUUAAUACAGCUUUAUUUAUUACUUGAUGACACUUUUGGUAUAUUUGUUAAACAAAUCAUCAAGUUUUUGACAUUGUUGUUGAUGGUUGUUGAUUGAUUUGAUCUUGUCUCUCUUUUGUUUAUGUUGCGGUAAUGCUUGGGUGUUUUCUUGAUUUUUAAGCAACAAGGAAACUCAAUUGGACUAUUAUACAAUCCUAAAAUUGAGAAGACUACCAAAGCCAAUUAAAAAAAUACUAAGAUUAGCAAGACAGUAAGCCGGAGAAGAAAGAAGAUCAAUCGUGUCAGAAACUCAUUUAGAUAAAUAAUAAAUACAUAGUGAGAUUGAGAAGAUUCUAUAUUUGUCGAGACGAUCAUUAGAUGGCAAUGGAAUGGGAAAUCAACAAAGAUUUAUCAUUAAUGAGUUUUAACCAAAACACAUAGUAGUGUUCUAUGACACGGGGGAUUUAACUCUCAUUUCCCUAAGAGAAUAUCAAUAUUUAGGAAAGUAAUAUGAAUAUCCAAAUGAGAAUUUUAAUCAAUUAUAUGAAAUUGUAAAACAACUAGUCUACUUAGAGUUUCAAAAGACGAAGAGAAUUUCAAAAAAUGGGAUUUCAUCAAAUUCAAAACAAAGUUGGUUUUAUGCUAACUCAAAUGUUCAACCAAAUAUAAACAUGAAGCAAACAAAAUUCAUAUGAUAAACAUAAAUUUAAAUUAAAAAAAUAAUAGACAAACAAGAUCAUUGGUAAACAUAGUAGUUUAGUUCUUUCUAAUGUCCUAAAAUUAAAAAAACUCUUGAUCAACUUUGAAAUAAAUUUGGUUUUAUGCCAACUCAAAUAUUCAAAAAAAAUAUAAACAUGAAAUAAACAAAACUCAUAAAAUAAACAUAAAUUUAAAUUGAAAAGUAGUGGACAAACAAAAGCAUUGGCAAAUACGAUGAUUUAGUUCUUUCUAAUUAUCAUAUAAUUCAAAAACUCAUGUGGAUUUUCAACGAUGAAUACUAUAACAUCUUCAACUUCUAGCUUGCUAUAUUUGGCGAAUUAAUUAAUACUAUUUGACCCUAUAUACAUACAUAUUUUUUAUAUCCCUAGUAGCGCGAAUGUCGUCAUAAUAUUCACAUUUUCCAUCUUUUUCGAUUUUGGUAAUGAUAUUUGUAAUAUGUGGAGUAAAACAAUCUUAUGCAAUGUUUUUUUUAACAUGCUACCGUAUAAAAAGUAAUAGAAAAAGCUUAAUGAUAAUAAAAAAAAAAUAGGUGAACUUUAAUAUUUAUAGCUAAUACAUGUCAAUACAUUGUUUUUUUUUUAAUUGAUUGUGUGACAUUUAGUACCUCUUAGUAUUUUCUGAAGGAAAAUAGCGAUCCAAAACGUAGCGAAAAUUAAAAUUCUCCUUUAGUGAUCCUUACGAAUGAGCAUGAUCAAUGAUAGAAAUCGUUACCUCUUGUGGCGAUUGAAACCUUCGAUGCAGAUUUAAGGAGUGAUCAUGAGCGUUGAAUGGUGACAACGCCUCUACUCAGUCCACACGAACGAAUUCCUUCAAUCUCAGUGCUAGCUGCUACGAAUGAAGGCUUUGAGAGAGAGAGAGAGAGAGAGAGAGAGAGAGAGAGAGAGAGAGAAAGAAAUAGAGAAAUGAAAUUUCAUCUAAUUAAAUGCUUUUGCACAAGGGUUCUAUUUAUAGAACCACUUGUGUGGGCUGCAAGCUAAAAAGCCCACUUAAGUGUAUGUGGCCCAUAUCUUAUAAUAUACCAAAAAUCACUUAAGCGCGUGGUACCUUACCACAUUUCAUAGUCUACUUAAGUGCAUCGUACCUUACGAUGUUCUACAAUUCACUUAAGUGCAUCGUACCUUACGGUGUUCCUUAUUUACUCUAUCUCUCAUCAAUCCGUCCUUUUGUGUGUGACCCUAUAGGUUUUCGCGACAUUGGCAAUUAUAUUAAGUCACGUAUUUAACAUAAUAAACAGUGAGUGAUAUCUAGCAACACAUCACUGCUACCUAAGACACAAAAAUGUCAUGUGAUCUGACAAAUCCUUUUAUGAUAAUACUUGUGUGUACAAUUACCCUUUUUCUCUUAUGUCUAUAUUGAACACAAGGCAUAGACUGUGUCAUCCUUAUCCAGUUCAAUAUUGGGCCCUUAGACAUUUAUCUUGUUAUGCAAGAUGGGCAAAAUUCAUAUAGGUCACUCAUGUCCCUCAACAUGCUUCGUGGAGUACCCAUCAAUUGUCUUUAUGGUCAUCCAGUUACGGAUGACGUUUGAUCAAUAAUAAAGCACUUGACUCUACAUCUAGGGUACAUAGUGGUUUUCAGGUCGAAUGGUGGUAUACACCACUGUCACCAUGAGAAUAACUUAUGACAUUUUGCAUAACAUUCUAUGUAGUAUUCUCAUAGCGGGUUAAUCCAGUAUAAAUAUUACUCCUAAUAUUCAUACUUAUGUUUAAGACUUGAUAACUCCUUAUUCAUGAUCCAUGAGAUGUGACGAUCAGUCUAUAUACAUAAUAGUCUUAAUGCUUUAAUGUUAUCCCACUUCACAAUAAAGCUCGACUACGGAUACUUCAAGUAUAGUGUCCUUAUGUUUAAUGGGAUCUCAUGAUUAAGUCACACUUGAUACAUUAAACAGACCAGUUAUUCUAGGGACUUUAUUAAACAAAUAUAAUAAAGAAAAAGUAUUUUAUUAUUUAUAAAUAAUUCGACACAAGUACCAAAAGUAUUGGCCUCUAGGGCUUACACCAACCAUCUCCCACUAGCACUAGAGCCAAUAAGGCAUACCCCUAAUACCCAUAGAUCUAGUAUGUCCAUCAUGCUUCUACUGCGCAAGAGGCUUUGUUAGUGAGUCAGCAAUAUUGUCAAGUAUAGGUACUCUGCAUAUUUUCACAUCUCCUCUAUCUAUUAUCUGUUGAAUGAGGUGAUAACGCAUAAGUAUGUGUUUGGAUUGUUGGUGAGAUAUAGGCUUAUUAUCUUGUGCGAUAACACCAUUGUUAUCACAAUAGAGAUCAAUGAGAUCCACAAUGCUAGGAACUAUGCCAAGUUCACUAAUGAACUUUUUAAUCCAAACUAUUUCCUUUGCUGCACUUGAGGCAGCAAUAUACUCGACCUCGGUUGUAGAAUCAACAAUUGUAUCUUGUUUUGAACUUUUCCAGCUCACAACGCCACCGUUUUAGUAGAACACAUAACCAAAUUGCGAUCUAAAGUCAUCCUUAUCUGUCUGGAAGCUAGCAUCGGUGUAUCCAAUUACAGCAAGCUCUUCCUGACCUCCAUAUAUCAAGAAUGAGACCUUAGUCCUUCUCAAAUACUUAAGGAUAUUCUUGAUAACUACCCAAUGAGCAUCACCAGGAUCAGAUUGGUACCUACUCGUUGCACUUAAAGCAUACGAGACAUUUGAUCAAGUACAUAGCAUGGCAUACAUGAUAAAUCCUAUUGCAUAUGCAUAUGGAAUCUUAUUCAUGCGAUCCAUUUCUUCCUUAGUUGAAGGGGAUUAUGUUUUUGAUAGACAUAUGUCAUGUUGCAUAGGUAUGAAUCCUUUCUUGGAAUCAUGCAUAUUAAAGCGUCUUAACAUUUUGUCUAUGUAUGCACUCUGACUUAGGCCAAGCAGUUUUUGUGAUCUAUCUCUAUAGAUCUUGAUUCCUAAUAUAUAGGUUGCUUCACCUAGGUCCUUCAUAGAAAAGCAUUUCCCCAACCAAGACUUUACUUGUUGCAGGGUAAGGACAUCGUUUCCAAUGAGUAAUAUGUCAUCUACAUAUAAUACUCUAAUAUAUAGGUUGCUUCACCUAGGUCCUUCAUAGAAAAGCAUUUCCCCAACCAAGACUUUACUUGUUGCAGGGUAAGGACAUCGUUUCCAAUGAGUAAUAUGUCAUCUACAUAUAAUACCAGGAAGAUGAUCAUGCUCCCACUAACCUUCUUGUAGACAUAAGGCUUAUCUUCAUUCUUGAUGAAUCCAUCUUGUUUUACUGUCUCAUCAAAAUGAAUAUUCCAGCUUCUGAAAGCUUGCUUCAAUCCAUAGAUUGAUCUCUGUAACUUACAUAUCUUUUGGGCUUCUUCUGGUAUGUCAAGUCCUUCAGGUUGUGUCAUGUACACAUCCUCAAGAAGAUUCCCAUUAAGGAAAGUAAUUUUGACAUCCAUCUGCCAUAUUUCAUAAUCAUGAUAUGCAACGAUAACAAGUAAAACCCGAACAGAUUUAAGCAUUGCAAUUGGUGGAAAGGUUUUAUCAUAGUCAACUCCGUGAAUUUGUUUAUAUCCUUUUGCAACCAGUCUUGCCUUAUAGGUAUGUACCUUACCAUCCAUGUCACUCUUCUUUUUAAGGACCCACUUGCAUCCUAUAGGGUUAACUCCUACAGGAGGCUCUACCAAGGUUCAAACCUAGUUUGUGUACAUGGAAUCCAUUUCAAAUUCCAUGGCUUCUAGCCACUUCUCUGACUCGAACCAAUUAUGGCCUCUUGGUAGGUCACAGGCUCAUCUUGAUCCAUGAGUAUACAUCACAUUGAUCAGUUAUGAGAUAUUCAUAUCUCUCAGGUAUGUGACAUAUCCUGCUUGACCUACGCUGGUCUUGUUUUACUUGAGCAGGUUGCUUUUCCAUAAUUACUUGUGUUUCCUGCUUUAAUUCCUCCAUAUGUGUAUCAAUGCUUUGUGAUUCUUGAAUUUCUUCAAGAUCUACUUUCCUCCCACUAAUUCCUUUGGAAAUAAAAUCCUUUUAUAGGAAAACUCCAGUUCGAGCGACAAACACUUUGUCCUCAGAAGGAUUGUAGAAGUAACACCCUCUUAUUUCUUUAGGAUACCCCAGAAAUAAGCAUUUGUCAGAUUUGGGCUCAACCUUAGUUGAAAUUUGUCGUUUCACAUAAGCUUUGCAACCCCAAAUCUUCAUGUAAGACAUAUGUGGUCUCUUACCACUCCAUAUCUCAUAUGGUGUCUUCUCAACCUUUUUGGAUGGAACACGGUUAAGUGUGUAAGCUGUUGUCAAUAGUGCAUGUCCUCAAAAGGAGUUUGGAAAGAUCGACGUGACUCAUCAUGGAUAGACCAUGUUUAACAAGGUUUAAUUUCUUCUCUUAGAUACACCAUUCCAUUGGGGUGUUCUAAGAGGAGUAAGUUGGGAUAGAAUCCCACAAUCUUAUGGUCAUCAAACUCUAGGCUUAAAUAUUCACCACCUCGAUCUAAUCGAAGAGUUUUAAUAUUCUUACCUAGUUGGUUUUGUACUUCAUUCUUGAAUUCCUUGAACUUUUCAAAGGACUCUGAUUUUUGUUUCAUUAAAUACACAUAACCAUAUAUACUUAAGUCAUCAGUAAAUGUGAUGAAGUACUGAAAACCUCAUAUGCCUGGUAUGUUAAGUGGUCCACAUACAUUAGUAUGUAUGAGGGCCAAAAGAUCAUUAGCUCUUACACCUUUUCCUGUGAAUGGAGUCUUUGUAAUCUUUCCAAUUAAACAAGAUUUGCAUGUCUCAUAUGAUUCAUAAUCAAAAGAGUCAAAGAGUCCAUCUUUAUUGAGUUUGCAAAUUCGUUUCUCAUUUAUGUGGCCUAGUCGACAAUGCCAAAGGUAAGUUGGAUUUAACUCAUCAGGUUUCAUUAUUUUAGUAUUAAUGUUAUAAAUAGGCAUUUUAAUAUCAAGGACAUAUAGUCCAUUAUUCAUUUGUGCAGUAGCAUAGAAUAUAUCAUUCAAAUAAAUGGAACAACAACUUUUCUUUAUUAUAAAUGAAAAAACAAACUUGUCCAAACAAGAAACGUAAAUAAUAUUCCUGCUAAUUACAGGUACAUAAUAACAGUUCUCUAACUGAAUUAUUAAACCACUAGGUAAAGUUAAUACAUAAGUUCCUACGGCUAAAACAACAAUCUUUGCUCCAUUGCCAAUUUGUAGGUCAACUUCACCUUUUUCCAAAUCUCUACUCCUUUCUAGCCCCUGCACACUAGUACAAAUGUAAGAAUCGCAUCCAGUAUCUAAUACCCAUGAUGCAGAAGUAGAUAGAUUAAUUUCAAUAACAAAAAUACCUGAAGUUGAAGUCUCUACUCCAUUCUUCUUAUCUUCCAGGUACUUAGGGCAGUUUCUCUUCCAGUGUCUGGUCUUACCGUAAUGGAAGCAAGUGCCAUCCUUUGCUAUACCUCCACUAGGCUUCAAAGCAUGAGCAGUGGGUUUGGAUUUGGCAACUUCCUUGCUUUUCCCUUUACCACCCUGCUUGGUGGGCCUUUUGUUAUGUCUCUUUCCAUUUCCGAUCAUCAAAAUGGACUUCCCUUUUGACUUCAAAUUCUUCUCAGCAGUUCUUAACAUGCCUAGCAGUUCAGGAAGAGUUUUGUCCAUAUCAUUCAUGUUGAAAUUAAGGAUAAAUUGACUGAAGCUAUCUGGCAAUGAUUGCAAGAUCAAAUCAGUCGCAAGUUCCUUUCCGAGGGGAAAAUCCAACCUCUCAAGGUUCUCCACAUACCUAAUCAUCUUGAGCACAUGGGGACCUACAGGGGAUCCCUCAGCUAACUUGCCUUGAAAAAGGGCUUUUGAAACUUCAAACCUUUCAUGCCUUGCCUGCUUUUGAUAGAGCAUCUUCAGGUGUCCGAUCAUAUCAAACGCUGCCAUGUUCUCAUGUUGCUUUUGCAACUCCGAGUUCAUGGUAGCUAGCAUGAGGCAAGCGGUUUCAUUGGCAUCAUCGACAUGCUUCUUAUAAGCAUCUCUUUCUGCCUUAGGUGCAGAACUAGGAGGUUCCUCUUCAGGAACAGAUUUCUCCAAGACAUCCAACUUUCUAUCAUGCUUGAGGAUAAUCCUCAGAUUUCGGUGUCAAUCCAGAAAAUUUGUCCCAGAAAAUUUUUCCUCAUCAAGGAUUGAUCGUAAAAUGUUGUUAAAGGUGUUUUUUGUCAUGGUAAUCUACAUGAAAAAUAUGAAAAUAUAAGUAUCAUUAAAAUAACAUAUUUAAUUAGGCCUUUAAUUAAAUAUGCUUCCACUAUUUUACUCAAAACAAAUGACCCUCACCAUUUGAUUCGAAAAAUCCCGUUAGAAGAUUUUAUAAUGGGUCGAGAUCCACAUUUCACUUUGUUUUAAGUCCGCAUAGGCGGAUUACACAAAACUAGGUUAUUUAGGUAGGAACUUCUUCCAAUUGUAUCCAAUACAACUCUCGAAUAUUUAGUUGGGUGAAUAACUUCUUAUUCCAAUCCAUCAUAUGGAUCAUUUCCAACUCUUGCUUCUAAACGUAUAUAAUCUUAUUAUAAUUUGUUUAGUUAAGUUUAACCCAUUGUUUUAGCAAUUGGAUAUUACAAUUAUCCCAUCGCACCUUACUAAUAUAGAACACGCACCUCGCGUAGGCGAAACCUACAUUAUUCGAUACUAGUCUUGAUGAGUGCUAAAACUUGGAAAGUAUAAACUUAAUAUUUAAUUUAAGGGAAUUUGCAAUUAUUUUGAUCUCACCGGCUUAUUUAUAAAUCGUCUUUCACAUGCAUCAACAUACAUACAAAAUGAAACAGUUAUAGUCAAUGAGAGAAUCUAAGCAAACCUAAAAACGAUAUAAGUUUCUCUAAGCAAGAUCUUGAAGGUUGUCCUCUUUUGAUAUUAUAUUCUUCUAUUUCUUCAUAACAUUACAUUACAUAAAAGAAACUCGUUUUACAUACGAGGGAGUGAGAUGAGAAAAGAAGUUACAUUAAGAGAUUAAAAGAGAGGUACGACAUGCGAGUCAUAUUUUAAAAUCCCAAAAACAAAAUAAAGGAAAACUAAGAUCAUAAUUGAUCACCACAAGAAAAUAAUAAUAAACACAUUAUUAUUAUUAAUUUAGAUCCUGUUAAUUAAAUAAACCAAAUUAAAUUUUGGCGACUGAUCACACUAUGCAGAGUUAGCCAGGGGUUCCGCUGCCCGGUCAGCGGACGAGGGUCAAAGGGGCAGCGCCCCCUGUGGGGUUGUUAUGGGCAGCGCCCUGACACAAAAUUUUAAUGAACAAUUCAUUUGAAACCGACAUCGAUUUUCGCAUCAACACUUGAUACUUAAAAGCAUAACUCUUGUGCAGUCACAACCCUAAUCGCAUAACUCUUUGACAACAUAAUCAUUAUACUGUCAUGAAGCCUAAUGCAGCAAUUUCAUACCGUCAAACACACCUCGAUUUUUAAUUCAGUAUGAUUGAUCAACACAUCAUUACUUCACCAUAGUAAUGUUGGAUUCCGAAGCAAAUGAACAUUGAUCGCUCAAAGGAAAACAACCAUUAAGUGUUUGAAUGAAUGAAACAUAAACAGUAUAUCAUAUAUACCAUAUUUUUACAUCAGAAUUACUUAUAUAUAUAUAUAUAUAUAUAUAUAUAUAUAUAUCUAUACUAAUUAUAUAUACUAUAUACUAUAUAUAUAUAUAUAUAAAUUGAUCGAUCUCAUUUGUGUAACCUAUGGAUAAUCGAUGUAUCGCUGCUUCACCAUACUAAUGUCGGAUUCCGAAGCAUAGUCAAUAUCAAUCGUUCAAAUCGUGCACACAUGAUGCCAAAUGUAAUUGCUCAUUUUUUAUUUAAUUCAUUAUGUCUUUUAAUCGUAUUAAUACAGAAAAUACAGAAAAAUAAACAGCUAUCAAAUGCAUGGUUUUGUAAGUGGCUCUGAUACCACUGAAGGAAAAUAACGAUUCAAAACGCAGCGGAAAUUAAAAUUCUCCUUUAGUUAUCCUUUAGAAUGGGCAUGAUCAGUGAUAAAAAUCAUUACCUCUUGUGGCGAUUGAAACCUUUGAUGCAGAUAUAAGGAGUGACCACGAGCAUUGAAUGGUGACAACGCCUCUACUUAGUCCACACGAACAAAUUCCUUCAAUCUCAGUGUUAGCUGCUAUGAAUUAAGGCUUUGAGUGUGUGUGUGUGUGUGUGUGUGUGUGUGUGUGAGAGAGAGAGAGAGAGAGAGAGAGAGAGAGAGAGAGAGACGAAAUUUCAUCUAAUGAAAUGCUUCUGCACAAGGGUUCUAUUUAUAGAACCACUUAAGUGUAUGUGACUCAUAUCUUAUGAUAUACCAAAAAUCACUUAAGUGUGUGGUACCUUGCCAUAUUUCGUAUUCUACUUAAGUGUAUCAUAUCUUACGAUGUUCUACAAUUCACUUAAGUGCACCGUACCUUAUGGUGUUCCUUAUUUACUCUAUCUCUCAUCAAUCUGUCCUUUUGUGUGUGACCCUAUAGGUUUUUGCGACAUUGGCAAUUAUAUUAAAUCAUGUAUUUAACAUAAUAAACAGUGAGAGGUAUUUAGCAACACGUCAUUGCUACCUAAGACACAAAAAUGUCAUGUGAUCUGACAAAUCCUUUUGUGAUAAUACUUAUGUGUACAAUUACCUUUUUACCCUUAUGUCUAUAUUGAACACAAGGCAUAGAUUGUGCCAUCAUUGUCCAUUUCAAUAUUGAGCCCUUAAACAUUUGUCCUGUUACGCAGGAUGGGCAAAUUCCAUCUAGGUCACUCAUGUCCCUCAACAUGGUUCGUGGAGUACUCAUCAACUGUCUUUAUGGUCAUCCAGUUACAGAUGACAUUUGAUCAGCAAUAAAGCACUCGACUCUACAUCUAAGGUCCAUAGUGGUUUCAGGUCGAAGGUUGGUAUACACCACUAUCACCAUGAGAAUAACUUAUGACAUUUUGCAUAACAUUCUAUGUAUUAUUCUCAUUGUGGGUCAAUCCAGUAUAAAUAUUACUCCUAAUAUUCAUACCUAUGUUUAAGACUUGAUAACUCCUUAUCCAUGAUCCAUGAGAUGUGAUCAUCAGUCUAUUUACAUGAUAAUCUUAAUGCUAUUAUGUUAUCCCACUUCACAAUAAAGCUCGACUGCGGAUACUUCAAGAAUAGUGUUCUUAUGUUUAAUGAGAUCUCAUGAUUAAGUCACACUUGAUACAUUAAAUGGAUCAACUAUUCUAGGGACUUUAUUAAAUAAAUAAUAAAGACAAAGCCUUUUAUUAUUAAUAAGUAAUUCGACACAACUACCAAAAGUAUUGGCCUUUAGGGCUUACAUCAAUGAUGAAUACUACAACAUCUUCAACUUCUAGCUUGCUAUAUUUGGCGAACUAAUACUAUUUGACCCUAUAUACAUACAUAUUUUUUAUAUCCCUAUUAGUGUGAAUUUCGUCGCAAUAUUCACAUUUUCCAUCUUUUUCGAUUUUGGUAAUGAUAUUUGUAAUAUGUGGAGUAAAACAAUCUUAUGCAAUGUUUUUUUUGAACAUGCUAUCGUAUAAAAAGUAAUAGAAAAAGCUUAAUGAUGAUAAAAAAUGUAGGUGAACUUUAAUAUUUAUAGAUAAUACAUGUCAAUACAUUGCUUCUUUUUUUAAUUGAUUGUGUGACAUUUAGUACCCCUUAGUAUUUUCAACUUGACCAACAUCUAUACUCUAAUAAGAAGACAUUAUUCAUGUGCUUUAUGAUUGUCCCGUUGUAAUGCCCAUCUGGCUGGCAGCGGUUCACACGAGUCAAAGAAUAAAAUUCUUCUUCAGAGAUCUUAAGUUAUGGAUAAAGCUUAACAUAAUGAAGAAUCUUGGUCGGAAUUGUAAUGAGAAUUGGGAUGCUUUUUGGGCAACCUCCUGCCAUAACAUUUGGAACUAGCACAACAAGGAAAUGCACGACAAAGAUUUUGCUAGACCAUUAUGUUCCACAUCUUACAUUUUUUCCUUAUUGCAUGAUUAUAGGAAUGCUUAAAAUAUUUCUAAUAUAGCCAUGAUCCAUCAUUAAGAGCUUAGUUUUAUUUGAUGGGAGCCCCCUCAGAAAGGUUGGGUCAAGAUUAAUUCAGAUGGUACCAGGGAUGGUGCAUGUAAUACUGGUUGUGGGGGCUUAAUUAGAGGAAAUGAAUGGGAGUGGUUAGGAGGAUUUGAAAAUAAAAUAAGCACAUGUAGUGUUUAUUCAGCGGAGUUAUGGGGGUUCUCGAAGGUUUGAAGCUUGCGUCUAGACUAGGUUUCACUUCCAUUAAAGUUAAUGUGGAUUCUCUCCAAGUGGCCAAAAAUAUCAAUUCAAGUGACUUUAGCAAAAUUAUGGAAGGAACUUGAUUUCAAAAAUCAGAUUUCAUAUGGAGAAAUUUGUGGAUGUUAGAGUGAGGCAUAAUUAUCGUGAAGCCAAUUGAUGUGCAAAUGCUCUUGCGAAGAGUAGUUUAAGUAAUCAGGAUGAAUGUGUUAUUUUGAUGUUUGCCCACCUUUUUCAAAUCACUUGCUUGAAAGUGAUUUGUUGGGUUUGUAUGUUCCCUGGUUAACCCUGGGUUAGUUUGUUUUCCUUUUGGGCCUCGACCCUCCUUACAACAACAAAAGACAUCUAUACUCAAAUAACUUGCUCUUGGAUUUUUAAAAUAAUCUAAUGAUAAUGUAAUGAUUAGAUGAUAUGUAUAUAUAAUGCAAGUGUGUAGUAGUAUUAGGAAUGGGAAUAGGUCAGAUCGGCCUACACGGACCUAUAGCCUGACCUAUUUAAGGACAUGUCAGACCUAUUUAAUUAAAUAGAUAGGCUUAUACUUUUUUAAAAGUCUAUUUAAUUAAAUAGACAAGACUUAUGCAAUUAAAAAACAUAUGAAGCCUUAUAGGUCGGUCUAUAUAUGCAUAUAUUAAAAAUAGGCUAAAUAUGUUGGCUUAUAUAUGCAUAUAUAUUUAAAAAAAAUAGGCUAAAUAUGUUGGCUUAUAUAUGCACAUAUAUAUAAGACUUCAUAGAUAAAAUUGACUAUUUGAAAGUCUUAAUAUAAAACAGAUUUUGAAAUAAGCCUUCAAGUCUGACUGGACUUUUAAAAAGAUCGGGUCAGGCAACAAAAAAAUUACAAUAGGCCAUAGGUUAAGCCCAUGCCUUAUAAAUAUAUCGCAGGUCGAGUUCAGGCCUUCUAAGGUCUAGCCUGACUUGUCCCUAAGUAGUAUGCAUUGGUUUUAUCUUAAAAAAUGUUAGCCAUAUAUAAAAAAUGAUUGCUUUAGUUAUUAAUAUGUAUAAUUUAUUUAUUUUAUAAAUAAUGAUUUUUUUUGCAACUUCAUAUUGUUUAUAAUAUUAUAGUGUUUUAAUUUAUACUUUACUUGGUUAUAGUGAUUGUUAUUUGUUUAAAUAUUAUAUAGAAAAUUAAUAUGAUUAAGAUCUACUAAUGAUAUAUACAAAUGUAGAUAAUAGUAAUUAAUAUAAUAUUAAUAAUAAUAAAUUGAGAGAAAUAAUACAGGUUUUUUUACAAAAAUAACCCACUUUUUCAAGGAAAUUCCCAAAAUACCCCUGGUUUCAAAUAAAUUCUCAAACUACCCCAUUUUUAGGAGGAGUCUCCAAUUGAAUUGGCGACUCCUCUUAAAACUUGAAUGGAGGCGCCAAUUAGAUUGGCUAGGGCAGGUGCCCUAGCCAAUCCAAUUGGCGCCCCUGUGUAGGUUUUAAGAGGACUCGCCAAUUCAAGUGGAGACUCCUCCUAAAAUGCAAUUUUGGUGUUAUAAAUAGAUGCGUUGUGUGAGUAAAUGUUCCACAUCUCACACAAUCAUUUGGCAAUCAUGUUUGGUGUUCGUCGCCGAUACGGUAAUGUGAUUUAUGCGAGAGACGAACCUCAGAUGCUGAUGUUGUUCUGGAACAUCACUACAUUCGAUCAACUGAAGCGGGAGCUGGUUCGUUGGUUAGAUGGGAAAAUACCAGAAGGGGAAAAAAUUAGAAGUAUUGAGAGACUUGACAGUAUCUUUGGUUGGGUGUGAAUGAAGACUGAUAAGGAUGUUAGGGAAAUGAUGUUCGGUCGAGAUGACAUCAAUUUGAUUGUUGUACUCAGUUAGAAAUAUUUAUGUUUUUAGAUAGCUUAUUUUGUACUGAUGUUUGUUGUGAACCUCGUUGUAACAAAAACUUAAUGAUAUAUAAUGAUUGAAGGUUACGGAAAUACAAUGUUACAAAAAGCUUAAGACCUAGAUGAUGCUCCUCGAUUGGGACAGUUGUUCUUGUUGUGUCCUGGUUGACGACAGAUACUACAUAAUCUUAUCAUUUUAUUUGUGGAAUCCAUCUCUACAAUGUUACAAAAAGCUUAAGACCUAGAUGAUGCUCCUCGAUUGGGACAGUUGUUCUUGUUGUGUCCUGGUUGACGACAGAUACUACAUAAUCUUAUCAUUUUAUUUGUGGAAUCCAUCUCUGUUCCGAUACGUGUGCUGUUUGGCCUUCCUUUCUUCUUUCUACGUAUCUCGUCAUUGUGCCAAACAAUAUCACCUUCAUAUGGAGGCCAGUAAUCCUCCAUUGGUAGUACUGAGAAGCUUUGACUAUAUACAUUCCUGAUGGUGUUGGCCUUGUACACAUCAGAUAAAUGGUUGUAAGCAUCUUGACGAGUAUAAGCGCAUGCUGCAAUGACAUGGGAGCAAGGUAUGCGGAAGGCCUGGAAUUUUCCAUAAUUGCACCAACCUCUGUUUAGUCUAACAGCGUAGGCUAAAUUUGGUCUCCCCUCGUUGUGGUCCAUUGUUUCCUGGACGCUGAAAUUUUGCCUAUGACGGUCAAAGACUGUUACAACGUGUGUACUAGAUUUAAUGCUCUCCUCUUUCAUGACCUUCAUACAACACUCACUGAAUACUUGCCCGGACAUUAACACCACACUCCAUUUUCACCUCUGGUUGCGAACAUAGAAGCCAACCUAUAAUAGGUUGAUCUUACCAAGGCGAUUAUCGGCAGACUUCGAAUUCCUUUGAAUACCCCGUUCAUGUAUUCCACAAUGUUUGUUGUCAUGUGGCCCCAUCGACAACCUCUGUCAAAUGCCUUUGUCUACUACUCUACUGGUAUGUUAUUUAGCCACCUCCCUGCGUCUUCAUUAGACAGUCUAAUUUCAUCACGAUAAUAUUGAAAUGACGACUGAGUUAGAGCAUACCCAGCAUUCACCACCUUCUUGCGAAGAUUCUUAUCUUUUAUAGCACGCAUGAAGUUUUGUGCAAUGUGUCUGAUACAGUAGACAUGGGUGUAGAAGGAGGAUCAGUUCAUUUUCGUAUGGUUGUUAUGGCACUCUCAAUGACAGCUAGUCUAUCAGAAAUCAAACAGAGAUUGGCUUGUGGAGCCACAUGCGUUCUGAGAUGUCGAAGAGAAACCCCAUCCACCACGGCCCUUCAACAAGAGCAAGGCAAUGGAAAGACAUGUUGUUUCCGUCUUGUGCAACCGCCAUGAGCAAAGUACCCUUGUAUUUUCCAUAUAACCAAGUGCCAUCAAUUUGAAUAAUAGGUUUGCAGAAUGCGAAACCUUUGAUGCACGGGUCAAAUGCCCAAAAGAGACGAUGAAAGAUUCUAUUACCUGUAGCACAGGUUCCGUCUGGCAUCAUCGCUGGCAAUGUCUCCAUGAUUGCCACAGUUCUUGGGACAUAUGUUUUUAGUGCUCAUAAAAACCGUGGUAAUUCCUUGUAUGAAUCCUCCCAGUUGCCGAAAACUUGUUCAACAACCUUUGUCCUCGCAAUCCAUGCUUUCUUGUAAGAUGGAGUAUAAUUAUAUGUUGAUCUGAUAUGGGAUAUAAUUAUACUCACCUUCAAUGAUGGGUCUUUAUUAACCAAUGAGAGAAUGUCUUGACAUAUCAACGAUGCGCUUAGUUUACCGUGAUCUUGUUCAACGUUAGUUGCAAUGCAACUGUGAGGUGGGUCUAUUGAACCGAUCUCCCAAGAGUCGUUUUUCUUCUUGUAAGAUGCAGUCAAACGAAACUUACAAAGCAUGUUACGACAUUCGAUAACAUACCUUAUAGAAUCAGUGUGUUUCACUGUAAAGUCAGCAGAGUUGUUCAUGUGGAAUUUUUCGAUAGCCAGAACACAUUCUUCUUUGGUACGAAACAUGUCUCCCACCUUUAAUUCUCCUUCUGAUCUCGGAUACAGAUUAUAGAAAACACUGUUGGAUGUUUCAUCGUCGUGAAGAUCCAUAUUUGUCAUAUGUUGAGGCGGAUUGUAGACAUGAGUAGGAGGUAUUGGUGGUGGUUGAUCAUCAUCUUCAUCGUUGUUGUUCAGCAUGUGAUCAACCUGUAUCUCGGUCUCCUCUUCUUCUUCAUCAACGACGUUCACUUCUGCUUUUGCUUCUGGGUUGACGUUAUUUGACCAUUGUGGAUCAUCUUCACCAGAUUCAUCCUGACCGGUUAGUUGAGACUGUUGAGAUGGUAUACAUGGUUGAAGAGUAAUGUAUAACUCAAUACAGUUGCAGCCUGAAUGUUCAUGACUACAAACAUGUAUUCAACAUCUUCAUCGUCUGUACCUUAAGGGGAAAAUACUGGCAUUGACUUAUUCUAAAAAUAUGGAUUUGAUAUGUGAUCUUUGACACAAAAUACCCAAUCCUGUACAAGAUUGUAUUCUUUUUUUCAAAUGCAUGAAGGUUGCAUUUCUCUUAUCGUGGUCUAAUGGUAUCGGUGUUUUGAAACAAAAAACCAUAUAGCUCAGACUCGUAUGCUUCACCGUUGCAGUGAACGUUGACAUUGUAUAAUGAUGAAGAUGACAUUGUGCAGAUGAAAACUAUUUUUCUUACUGCAGAUGAAUGUGAGUGAAGUGUUCUUUGGAUGUUUGAUAGUAAGACUUUUUUUUUUUUUUUUUUUUUUUUUAUCUCCUUUUUUUCAUUUUAAAUUAAGGGAGUUGAAGUGUCGUCACAUGCUAGCUAGUUCGAAGUGACGUGUGGCACAUGCAAGCUACUCCGACAUGAGACGCUGUCGCACAUGCAAACUACUCCAAAUGAUGUGUCAACCACUGCAAGUACUAAGAAGGACAUGUUCAGCAUGUCAAGAGACAAGACAGCCACAUGUCAGAACAGUGCAGACACACACUCCAAUGACAUUGGCGCCCCACGUCAUUCCUUGCCAUCAUGGGUCCAAUUCAAGUUGGAGACACAUCAUUCAGACCUCGAACGCAACAAUCAGACCUAGUGUCUUGCAUGCAUGUCCCUUUGGAGGACGCCAUUGAAAUGGCGACCCCUCUUAAGGAUACAUGGUCGCCAAUCAGAGUGCCGAGACACCAUUGCAAGCAUAACUUUUCAUGUCUCCAUCCCAUUUGCCUUAAUACAUCCACAUCCAUCAACAUUCUCCCACGCAUCACUCUCACUACUGUCCUCUACAAUAUUCUGUCUACAAUUUCUCUUCAACAACUUUUGUGAUUUCAUCUACCAACCCCGCAAAAUGUCUAUCCUCACAAUGGGCGAUGCACAUAGAGGAACGGUCUUGCAACAUCACAACAUAUGUAGUUUUUCUUUUUGUUAACUUUUUUCUUCAUCUUUCACACCCCCUUUUAUUUUUACAUACCAACUUAUGUUCAGAUUUUUUAUGCUUUCUUUUAUAGAGAUGUAUCAAGUUUCGAAUGGGUCACGAAAUAUGUCCAUUGCGACCGGAUGAUUCACCUUAUGUUGAACCUGCCGGUUUUGGUCAUAUACGCAAGACUUUGUCUGGUCCAUAUACAAAUCAUUCUAGCUUAUGCAAGAAGAUGAGAUUCAGAGACACAACAUUUUGGUUCCAGCACGGUAAGUCCAUGGACGUUGAAGACGAUUACAUGCUUUUGGUUAUCCAUUGAAGGUAAGGCUGUAAUGUAAACCAACUAUGCAAUUCAUUUGCAUGGAGUUUAGAGACUGAUUUUAGAUGAUAAUGCCAGAGUCAAGGUAUACUACUCUCCGCCUUAGUCGUACUAUAAUAGUUUAUACUUAGAUGAGAUUCUACCAAAGAUGCUCGAUAAUAAAAAUAGGUUUACUAUGCUGCUUAAUUGGUCGUUUAUUUCCCGAAGAUAGUGGUUCUAGAUGCAAUAUGUACUUUACUCUACUUUAGACAUGUAGACAGAAUAGGAAGUACAGUGGGGAUCUGCUUGUCUAGCCUAUCUCUAUAGCUCCGUGGCAAAAACUUCACACAAAGACACAUCUACAUUUCUGAUGUGUGUUUUGCUACAAGCAUGGGGUUGGUCAAGACUACCGUCUCUAGCACCCGUCAAUAACAACCCUUUCACAUUUCCGUAUGCACAAAAGUAAGUUGUUUAAAUUGCUAUAUCUUUACUUACUUCUUUAAAGAUUAUUACAUCUAACUAUUAUUUUUUGACUUUUUGGUGUAGAUGGUCUGCACGUGGUAUGAGUUACAACAUAUGUCCAAGACACUGUAUUACUCAGUAUCGCAACCUGUUGGAUCACCUUCGACCGACAGACGUAAGGAAAAUAACUUAAUUAUUUCGUUAUAUCUUGUUAACUUCUUCUACAUUGACUAUAAUCCUAUCUUAUUUCACAUUUCAGUUCAUUUGGCGUCCAUACCUUAAUUUGGAUCAUGACCAUGAGGUCAACGCUGAAGACGCGGCCGUAUGGACUGCAUGCACACCGAUAAUACGGUUCACAACUGUGGAGAUGUACAACAGUGAUCGUGUGAAGCUGCAGUUCAGUAUGCUCCAAAAUAUCCCAGAUCCCCCAUCUAGCCUAGGAGAAUGGCAUCUGUGUAAAGUUAACGACCAAUGGAACUUCAAUCCAUGGCAAAGCUUCGCAAGAUCGGAGUGUCGCAAAUGGAAGCACCGUCAUGACCAUGUGUUAACUGACGCAGUCAUGCCAACUAAAGAAAAACCAAGUUCGACUUAUAUGGCUUGGUACAAGAUCGGUUGGUUUUCAGUCAUCGCGAUGAUAUGUACUUGUAGGACCCACGCAGAUGACUUACACACCUGACACCUCAACAUCAACCCCAACACAGUCACAACGUUAGACCGGAUACACACAACCCCCUAUCCGUCAAACGUUUCGUUUCAACCAACACACAAACAUACAACCAAAUAUGCCAUACACCCAACCCCAAUACCAAGAGCAUACCCCAUACCACCACCAACAAAUUGACCAUCAACCUGAGACCCAACAUCGCUUCGCACCCACCCCAUCACCCUACCAAAGUCGCCUUAGCCAGAACACUCAACGAUCAUUCAACACCAACCGCUCCUUCUCCUACCGUAGCCAAGAAGCCCAAACAUCACAAAACCAAAACAUCCAACAACCUUAUCUCUACCAAACACCCCAACAACCUUUCCAACUUUUCCUCGACGCAUCGUUCACACUCAUGUCUCCCUUCAACCGUCCCGGUCGUCAUCAAUAAGUCAACCACAUCCCAACUUCUCUGGCAUGGGUCAUGAGCUCAGCUACGACGGUACACCGUUGAUGCAUACUGAAGACUAUGCCAACUUGUCUGAAUACCUCAACAAACCUUCUCCUGUAGUUGGUAGUGACGCUCCUGGCCCCUCAGAUGAUCAAACACCGGUGCAAAAUUGUCAACGUGGGUUAGGGCCAAGGGUUAGGGUAGCUAGAGGAUGUGGGACUGGAGGUCGGUUAGGUGAUCCCGGUCAUCACCAUUAGGUUUCUUUGUGUAAACGGCAAAUUUUAUUAAUAUUAAGUGGUCCUAUAUCAAAUUUAUCUAUCACGUAUACCAUAUAACAAAAAAAAUUGCAUUUUAGGAGGAGUCUCCAAUUGAAUUGGUGACUCCUCUUAAAACCUACACAGGGGCGCCAAUUGGAUUGGCUAGGACACCUGCCCUAGCCAAUCCAAUUGGCGCCUCCAUUCAAGUUUUAAGAGGAGUCUCCAAUUCAAUUGGCGACUCCUCCUAAAAGUGGGGUAGUUUGAGAAUUUUUUUGAAACCGGAGGUAUUUUGAGAUUUUUCUUAAAAAAUAGGUUAUUUUUGUAAAAAAACCUAAUACAAACAAAUAAAGUUAUAAAAUAACAUAUAAAAGUCAUAACAAAUGAAGCACAAAGACACAACAUGCAACAUAAAUAUUGACAAAUGUAAGAAACAACUAUAAGAAAACUCAAUUCCAACUGCAACUACUUUGAGUGUUGAUAUCGUUAUUAUCACUAUGUAGGUACAUUUUUGGAGCAUCAUUACUAUAUGAAUGAGUUGGAACCAUAUAAUAAAGUUUUAUAGUAGUGAUUGUUGUGAAUUCAAACUCAGCAUUUAUCUCCACCUUCAAAAAAAUUAGACAAAUUUGAAUGGUUAACUAAAUAAAGGAAGAAAAAAAAUAUGAAUUCUUUAAAAUGAAAAUAAAUUAAACAUGUAUUUAAAAUUUGCAUGUGUAGGGUCAAUUUCGGCGGUGAAUGAAUUCACAUGAAAGAGAAAAAUAAUAAUACUAUUAAAUUUGAUUGUGUUGUUAAAAUAUGUAAAGUGUUGAAUAAAACUGAAAUUGAAAAAGUAAAAAUAGUUGAAUACUUACAUAAAUUGUAGUGAUCAAAAGAUGUUAUCCGUAACAUAAAUCAAUGGGUCUAAUUUGUUUGGAAAAGCGGUAAAUAUAGCAUGAUAGACAAAUUGACCAUAUUGAGAGACGCCUAAUCGUGUAAGUAAUUGUCCAAGGAUUCCAUUGUAUGUCUAAUCAGUUGGCAUACAACUCAACGACAUUAUGCACAAAAUUCAUCAAUAAAUGUGUUAAAAUGAUUAUUGCAUUUGGUGGAUUCUAAAAGCAUGUUAUAUACAUAACAUGAUGUAUAACUUAGCACACAUGCAUUGAAGUUGAUUGUAGUGACUACACGAGAUAACCUUACAUGUUACUACUUGAUUAAAAAGACAUAUAUUUCAACUCACUUGAGAUAAUACAUCAGAUGUUAUAAAUUGAUGAAUAACCAAGCUUCUUUUUAGAUAUUGUAAAUAUUUGUCCAUUACAGGUUAUAUAUAUAACUAAAUGAUAAUUUUGUAAUAGAAUCAAAUAAAAAUUAAUGUCUUAAAAAAUCAUAGUUAAGCGUGAAUACUUCCUACAUAGUAAAAAACAGUGGAUUUGAAGAAAAAAGUUAUACAUCUAAUUUUUCUCUUACAUGUGGGCU